GAAUUUGAUAUUGAUUGAUUAGGGUAAUUUUUAUUAUUUUUAUAAUUAAUUUAUAUUUUAUUGGGAGGAUAGUUAAAUUUUAUUAACUUUAAUUAAUAUUUAUUAGAUAUAAAUUAAUAAAUUUUAGAAUGGUUAUUAGAUUAAAUAAGAAUUAAUUACCUUAGGGAUAACAGCGUGAUAUUUUUGGAGAGUUCAUAUUGAUAAAAAUGAUUGC
rnacentral:rRNA from 1 species